GCAUCUUAAAAGGCAGCCUUCAAGGCCUUUGUGGGCCAACAUGUGGGUGCAGCUUUCAACGAUGGGGUCUGGAGCUCACCUCCUGCUGUUCCUGCUGCUCUGGGCUCCAGGCUCCGCUGGGGACAUUGUGCUGACCCAGUCUCCAGCCUCCUUGGCUGUGUCUCCAGGACAGAAGGCCAUCAUCUCCUGCAGGACCAGCGAGAGUGUUGAUGCAUCUUUGGGCGAGUUUGGUAGUAUAAGUUUUAUGGCCUGGUAUCAACAGAAGCCAGGACAGCCUCCCAAAGUUCUGAUCUAUGAAGGGUCCAGUCGAGCCCCAGGGGUCCCAGCCCGGUUCACCGGCAGUGGGUCUGGGACAGACUUCACCCUCACCAUUCAGCCUGUGGAGCCCGAGGAUGCGGCAAACUAUUACUGUCAGCAGAACAAACAGAUCCCUCCCACAGUGCUCCAGCUCUGA